UAGAGUUGUAUCUUCCUCCUCCUUUAUUUAUGCGCAACUACAAAGCACCUGCAGAAGUUUCAUUGCUACUGAGAGCAUGAAACAGUUUUGUCAAUGAGAAACGUACUGGCUUUGCAAUUUUCUGGCCUAAUAUGGAAGAGUAUCCUGACUGCAUGCAAGCAUUAUGGGGAAACCAAGGAACAGCAUGGAUUUGGAGUGAGAAGAUCCAGAUUUAAGUUAGGCUCUGCUGUUUGACAUCCAGGUAAACCAGCAUCUUCCCUGUCCUCCUCUGAAACAGCAAGACCUCCCCAGUAACAGCAAAUAAUCCCCAUGCUACCUUCUCUCCCAUUCUUUGGAUGGGAAGGCACUUGCCGAAGCCUCUCUGAAUUUGAAAGCCCAAGGGACCCACCCAAGUCCUGGGG